UAAGCGUUCCGUGCGGCCGCUCGCCUACAGCUCCUUUGGGGCUGGAGGCGGGAGGAAAGUCCGAGCUCCUCAGGGCAGGGUGCUCCGUAACUCGGAGUCCCGGUGACGGGCAGGAAAGUGCCACAGAAAAUAACCGCCCCACCUUGGGCGGGGCAAGGGUGAAAAGGUGAGGUAAGAGCUCACCAGUCCCCCGGGCGACCGCGGGAGCUAGGCAAACCCCACCCGGAGCAAGACCAAAUAGGAGGGGACUUCCCGCCAUGUGCGGGCAGAAUGGGUGGCCCGCCCAACCCCUCGGGUAAGGUCGCUGGAGGGUCCGGGCAACCGGGCCCCUAGAGGAAUGGCCGCAGCCUGUGGUAGGGAGACCGGCCACAGGAACAGAACUCGGCUUAUAGGGACGCUUAAGCC
rnacentral:RNase_P_RNA from 1 species